rnacentral:rRNA from 1 species
UGGGGAAUAUUGCACAAUGGGGGAAACCCUGAUGCAGCGACGCCGCGUGAGCGAAGAAGUAUUUCGGUAUGUAAAGCUCUAUCAGCAGGGAAGAAAUUGACGGUACCUGACUAAGAAGCACCGGCUAAAUACGUGCCAGCAGCCGCGGUAAUACGUAUGGUGCAAGCGUUAUCCGGAUUUACUGGGUGUAAAGGGAGCGUAGACGGAGCAGCAAGUCUGGAGUGAAAACCCGGGGCUCAACCUCGGGACUGCUUUGGAAACUGUUGUUCUAGAGUGCUGGAGAGGUAAGUGGAAUUCCUAGUGUAGCGGUGAAAUGCGUAGAUAUUAGGAGGAACACCAGUGGCGAAGGCGGCUUACUGGACAGUAACUGACGUUGAGGCUCGAAAGCGUGGGGAGCAAACA